CACUCCUACGGGAGGCAGCAGUGGGGAAUUUUGGACAAUGGGCGAAAGCCUGAUCCAGCCAUGCCGCGUGCAGGAUGAAGGCCUUCGGGUUGUAAACUGCUUUUGUACGGAACGAAACGGCCUUUUCUAAUAAAGAGGGCUAAUGACGGUACCGUAAGAAUAAGCACCGGCUAACUACGUGCCAGCAGCCGCGGUAAUACGUAGGGUGCAAGCGUUAAUCGGAAUUACUGGGCGUAAAGCGUGCGCAGGCGGUUAUGUAAGACAGUUGUGAAAUCCCCGGGCUCAACCUGGGAACUGCAUCUGUGACUGCAUAGCUAGAGUACGGUAGAGGGGGAUGGAAUUCCGCGUGUAGCAGUGAAAUGCGUAGAUAUGCGGAGGAACACCGAUGGCGAAGGCAAUCCCCUGGACCUGUACUGACGCUCAUGCACGAAAGCGUGGGGAGCAAACAGGAUUAGAUACCCUGGUAGUCCCA
rnacentral:rRNA from 1 species